AUUGCGUCUCUGCAUAUUAGUGAAGAUGAAGUGUAGUGUCUGUUCUUAUCAGUUUAGUAUCUGAUAUGUUUUCUAUCCGAGGACAUGUAUUCAAUGGAUUUUUGGAGCAGGGAGAUGGAAUAUGAGCUUGCUCCACCCACUCCAUACAUGGACCCGGUAUUGCAGUACUUCCAGGAACGGUGCACCCCCC
ensembl:snRNA U2 U2 spliceosomal RNA